rnacentral:rRNA from 1 species
AGCGGCGUACGGGUGAGUAAUGCAUCGGAACGUGUCCUCUUGUGGGGGAUAACCAGUCGAAAGACUGGCUAAUACCGCAUGAGAUCGCAAGAUGAAAGCAGGGGACCCGCAAGGGCCUUGCGCGAGAGGAGCGGCCGAUACCCGAUUAGCUAGUUGGCGGGGUAAAAGCCCACCAAGGCGACGAUCGGUAGCUGGUCUGAGAGGACGACCAGCCACACUGGGACUGAGACACGGCCCAGACUCCUACGGGAGGCAGCAGUGGGGAAUUUUGGACAAUGGGGGCAACCCUGAUCCAGCCAUGCCGCGUGUGUGAAGAAGGCCUUCGGGUUGUAAAGCACUUUCGGACGGAACGAAAUCGCACGAUCUAAUAAGUCGUGUGGAUGACGGUACCGUAAGAAGAAGCACCGGCUAACUACGUGCCAGCAGCCGCGGUAAUACGUAGGGUGCGAGCGUUAAUCGGAAUUACUGGGCGUAAAGUGCGCGCAGGCGGCCAUGCAAGUCGAGUGUGAAAGCCCCGGGCUUAACUUGGGAAUUGCGCUCGAAACUACGUGGCUGGAGUGUGGCAGAGGAAGGUGGAAUUCCACGUGUAGCGGUGAAAU